GCCUUCAUGGUGUAGUGGUCAGCACGCUCGGCGCGUAUUCGAGAGGUCCGUGGUUCGAGUCCCGGCGGGGGCA
rnacentral:tRNA from 1 species